CUUGGCUGACACUUUCCAACAACUAAUCUUGUCCAAACAUGCAUGGAACUGAUAUACCUAAUGCAGAAGUAUGAACUUACACUUCAGCAAUAUGUUUCAAGACUGGUUAAACCGAGGGUACUCAGUAGACCCAGGUAAAUGUUAAUCCAUUAAGAAAUGGUGGGUGGACUCCUGGCAUCAUAACCACCACAGUCAACUAAAGUGUCCCUUGUUAUAUUGCUCAGACUGCCCCUUUAGGUUUUAGUUAACAAGUGCAAAUUUUGUGUUAAGCAUUUGGCCUCAAAAAGUCAAUGAGGAAUUCACAGAGCCAAAUAUGAAAUAAUGAAUUUGAAUGUUUUUUUUAAAUAUUCAAUAGUGGCAUUUCUUUAUCUGCA